UGGGGAAUAUUGCACAAUGGGGGAAACCCUGAUGCAGCGACGCCGCGUGAACGAAGAAGGUAUUCGUAUCGUAAAGUUCUGUCCUAUGGGAAGAUAAUGACAGUACCAUAGAAGAAAGCUCCGGCUAAAUACGUGCCAGCAGCCGCGGUAAUACGUAUGGAGCGAGCGUUGUCCGGAAUUAUUGGGCGUAAAGGGUACGCAGGCGGUUUAAUAAGUCGAAUGUUAAAGAUCGGGGCUCAACCCCGUAAAGCAUUAGAAACUGAUAAACUUGAGUAGUGGAGAGGAAAGUGGAAUUCCUAGUGUAGUGGUGAAAUACGUAGAUAUAUGGAGGAACACCAGUGGCGAAGGCGACUCUCUGGUCUGUAACUGACGCUGAGGCUCGAAAGCGUGGGUAGCAAACAGG
rnacentral:rRNA from 1 species